GAUGAAGAACGUAGUGAAAUGCGAUACUUGGUGUGAAUUGCAGAAUCCCGUGAACCAUCGAGUCUUUGAACACAAGUUGCGCCCGAAGCCAUUAGGCCGAGGGCACGCCUGCCUGGGCGUCACACGUCGUUGCCCCCCCAUCUACUCCUUCGGGAUUGCGGGGGGCGGAUGAUGGCCUCCCGUGCGCCUCGUCGCGCGGUUGGCAUAAAUGCCAAGUCCUCGGCGACGCACGCCACGACAAUCGGUGGUUGCGAAACCUCGGUUGCCCGUCGUGUGCGGUCGUCGCGCAUCGAGGGCUCGAAAAAAUUGCCGGGCUCCGGCUCGGCUUUCAACGCGACCCCAGGUCAGGCGGGGUUACCCGCUGAAUUUAAGCAUAUCAAUAAGCGGAGGA
rnacentral:misc_RNA from 1 species